rnacentral:lncRNA from 1 species
CCCUAUGGCUGCCCCACAGCUGCCCCAUAGCUGCCCUAUGGCCGCCCCACAGCUGCCCCAUAACCACCCUAUGGCAGCCCCAUAACCGCCCUAUGGCUGCCCCAUAACUGCCCUAUGGCUGCCCCAUAGCUGCCCUAUGGCCGCCCCAUAGCUGCCCCAUAGCUGCCCUAUGGCCGCCCCAUAACUGCCCUAUGGCAGCCCCAUAGCUGCCCCAUAGCUGCCCUCUGGCCACCCCAUAGCUGCCCACUCCCUCCCUACCCCCCUCCCACCCCGACCCACCCCACAUCCACCCCAUUAAACCACCCCUCCUACCCUACAUCCCCUCUUCAACCCCACAACCCCCACCCCAUUCUACCCCCACCCGCCCCCCCCCUGCUCCCCGUCCCCCCCCCGCUCCACGCGGCGUUGCCGUUGAAGAAGAGCGGUUUGUCGCGGGGUCUGGAUUGACGACGAUGGCGAGCCGUCGUAGCGAUGGAGCCGACACGUAGAUUCUCGGCCGUUUGCCGCCCUCCAGCACCGUCACGUUCUCAGCCUGCACCUCCUGAGCCCACCUGGUGACAAGGGGAGGGGGAGAUGGGGGGGGUAACCGGGGUGGGAUGGAUGGGGAGGGGGCGAUGGAAGGGUGGUGGUGGGAUGAAAUGGCAGUGGGAAACUUCAGCACCAUGGACAGCGGCAUGGCUGGCACAACAUGGGCGUCAAUGGGAACCAUCAGGCACCAUGGACAGCGCAUUGGGGCACCAAUGUGGACAACGGAACUUCAGCACCAUGGACAGCGGCAUUGGGGCACCUUAUGGGGUGUCUAUGGGGUCAAUGGGAACCUUCAGCACCAUGGACAGCGGCAUUGGGGGCAUUAAUAUGGGGUCAAUGGGAACCUUCAGCACCAUGGACAGCGGCAUUGGGGACACCAACAUGGGGACACCAACAUGGGGUCAAUGGGAACCUUUCAGCACCAUAGACAGCGGCAUUGGGGGCACCAAUAUGGGGGCACCAACAUGGGGUCAAUGGGAACCUUCAGCACCAUGGACAGCGGCAUUGGGGGCACCAACAUGGGUCAAUGGACUCAGGCACCAUGGAACAGCGGCUGUUGGGGCACCUUAUGGGGUCUGUCUAUGGGGUGAGGGUCCCUAUAGGGGAAGGGUCCUUAUAUGGGCUUCCGGGGGUCCCUAUGGGGUUUUAUGGGUAUGGGUCACUAUGUGGGGUCCUGGGGGUUCCUCUGGGGGGUUCCAUGGGGGUCCCUAUGGGGUGGGGGUCCUAUGGGGGUUGGUCCCUAUAUUGGGGGGUCCCAGAGGGUCUCUAUGGGGUGUGUCUCUAUUUGAGGGGUCUUCUAUUGGGGGGGGGUACGGGGGGUCCAAUGGGGGUCUCUAUGGGGGGUUUCCCUAUAGAGGGCGGUCCCUAUGGCGGAUUCCCUGGGGGCCUCUAUGGGUGGUGGUCCCUAGGGUGGUGUGGUCCCUAUGUGAGGGUCCAGGGGGCGGUCCCUAUGGGGUGUCUAUGGAGUGAGGGGCUCCCUAAGGGGUGGGGUCGUCCUUAUAUGAGGGUUCUGGGGGGUCCCGUAUGGGGGGGGGGGGCCCUAGAUGAGGGUUCCCUGGGGUCUCUAUUGGGGGGUGUGGGGUCGCGGCGUCAUAUAGGGGUGGCGUGGCUUACUCACU